rnacentral:rRNA from 1 species
GACGAACGCUGGCGGCGUGCUUAACACAUGCAAGUCGAACGGAAAGGCCUCUUUCGGGGGGUACUCGAGUGGCGAACGGGUGAGUAACACGUGAGUAACCUGCCCUUGACUUUGGGAUAACUUUAGGAAACUGGGGCUAAUACCGGAUAGGAGCUCCUGCUGCAUGGUGGGGGUUGGAAAGUUUCGGCGGUUGGGGAUGGACUCGCGGCUUAUCAGCUUGUUGGUGGGGUAGUGGCUUACCAAGGCUUUGACGGGUAGCCGGCCUGAGAGGGUGACCGGCCACAUUGGGACUGAGAUACGGCCCAGACUCCUACGGGAGGCAGCAGUGGGGAAUAUUGCACAAUGGGUGGAAGCCUGAUGCAGCAACGCCGUGUGCGGGAUGACGGCCUUCGGGUUGUAAACCGCUUUCGCUCAUGACGAAGCUUUGUGUGACGGUAGUGGGUAAAGAAGCACCGGCUAACUACGUG